AUGUUUACUGUGGGCUUAGACGUUGAUACGCGUGCCUACUUCACCGCAGCUACCAUGAUCAUAGUUGUGCCCACGGGAAUCAAAAAAUUUAGUUGGAUCGCUACCAUGUGGCGAGGUUCGAUACAAUAAUACAAAACACCCAUGUUAUUUGCUGUAGGGUUCAUCUUUUUGUUCACCAUAGGAGGGCUCACUGGAAUAGUUCUAGCAAACUCUGGGCUAGACAUUGCUCUACGUGAUACUUAUUAUGUGGUUGCACAUUAA
rnacentral:rRNA from 1 species